rnacentral:rRNA from 1 species
GACGAACGCUGGCGGCGUGCCUAACACAUGCAAGUCGAACGGAACUGUUUUGAAGGAUUUCUUCGGAAUGAAUUUGAUUUAGUUUAGUGGCGGACGGGUGAGUAACGCGUGAGUAACCUGCCUUCAAGAGGGGAAUAACAUUCUGAAAAGAAUGCUAAUACCGCAUGACAUAUCGGAACCACAUGGUUUUGAUAUCAAAGAUUUUAUCGCUUGAAGAUGGACUCGCGUCCGAUUAGUUAGUUGGUGAGGUAACGGCUCACCAAGACCGCGAUCGGUAGCCGUACUGAGAGGUUGAACGGCCACAUUGGGACUGAGACACGGCCCAGACUCCUACGGGAGGCAGCAGUGGGGGAUAUUGCGCAAUGGGGGCAACCCUGACGCAGCAACGCCGCGUGAAGGAUGAAGGUUUUCGGAUUGUAAACUUCUUUUAUUAAGGACGAAAAAUGACGGUACUUAAUGAAUAAGCUCCGGCUAACUACGUG